GGAACUGCUGAGUCACAGCCUGAACCUCUGAUUGAUCACCUGAGGCGAGCCAUGAGUCAGCCAGAGGAGCACAGGUGAAGGCAAUUCAGCUGUGCUGCCGGAAGGGGUGAAGCCAGGCUCCAGCCCUCCUAGACCUAUUUAAGAGCUGGCUACCAGUGGGGAAGGAUCUCAUCUGGAGAUUGCCUCUCUUGGUGUUUUGUGGUGAGCCCAGCCUAAGGGAUGGAAGAUGGUCAUCUCAGGAGCCAGUCUGAAGAUGUCGGGGUAAUAUUGCUGCCUGGAAAGAAAGGUGCUUGGAAUGCUAGAAAAAAUGAAGAUGUCAGCUUUAUAUUCAUCAACACAACAGCUUAUCUGACGUUGUAAAAUCAUGCAUUUCACGUAUUCUGAAUGGAGAAAGGCUGACAUGUCAGUUACUCUCUGUUCAUCACUACAAUAACAAAUUCUAAAAUGGGGGAAGUGUUUCCAGAUCUCUUGUUAGGAAUUUGAAAUACCUGCUGAUAACAACUGCUGUUUCUUUUUCCUGUUCCUUCAGUAAUUAUCACUCAGACUGAAAAGGAAUGAUAGCUGUGGUUUUGUCAUUAGAAUAAAAAACAGCUGUAACUGAGAAAUAGUAUGGAAAACAAAUGUUAAAUACAUCACUUUCAAAAUUCA